rnacentral:pre_miRNA from 2 species
GUCGGAAUCACCUGGGGAUCUUGUUAAAAUGCAGAUUCUGAUUCCGAAGGUUUGGGGUGAGACCUGAAAAUCUGCAAUUUAACAAGAUCCCAGGUGAUGCUAAU